CCUGGUUGAUCCUGCCAGUGGUCAUAUGCUUGUCUCAAAGAUUAAGCCAUGCAUGUUUAAGCAGAAGCCGCACAACGGUAAAGCCGCGAAUGGCUCAUUACAACAGCCGUCGUUUCUUGGAUCUCUAAAUUUACUUGGAUAACUGUGGUAAUUCUAGAGCUAAUACACGCACUAAAGCUCUGACCUUACGGGACGAGCGCAUUUAUUAGAACAAAACCAAUCGGGUUUCGGCCCGUUCGUUGGUGACUCUGAAUAACUCUGCCGAUCGCACGGUCUCGCACCGGCGACGUAUCUUUCAAGUGUCUGCCUUAUCAACUUUCGAUGGUAGUUUAUGUGCCUACCAUGGUUGUAACGGGUAACGGAGAAUAAGGGUUCGACUCCGGAGAGGGAGCCUGAGAAACGGCUACCACAUCCAAGGAAGGCAGCAGGCGCGCAAAUUACCCACUCUCGGCACGAGGAGGUAGUGACGAAAAAUAACGAGACGGAUCUCUUUGAGGCCCGUUAUCGGAAUGAGAACAAUUCAAAUCCUUUAACGAGGAUCUAGCGGAGGGCAAGUCUGGUGCCAGCAGCCGCGGUAAUUCCAGCUCCGCAGGUGUAUAUCUAUGCUGCUGCGGUUAAAAAGCUCGUAGUUGGAUCUGCGUGCUCGGAACUGGUUGGCUCACUGAGCUCAUACUGGUCUCCGGCGCUUUAUUGGCUGGUUUUCCCUUGAUGCUCUUAACCGGGUGUCUUGGGUGGCUAGCACGUUUACUUUGAAAAAAUUAGAGUGCUCAAUACAGGCGCAAAGCCUUGAAUAGUGGUGCAUGGAAUAAUAGAAUAGGACCUCGGCUCUAUUUUGUUGGUUUUCGGAACGCGAGGUAAUGAUUAAGAGGGACAGACGGGGGCAUUCGUAUUGCGACGUUAGAGGUGAAAUUCUUGGAUCGUCGCAAGACGGACGACUGCGAAAGCAUUUGCCAAGAAUGUUUUCAUUAAUCAAGAACGAAAGUUAGAGGUUCGAAGGCGAUCAGAUACCGCCCUAGUUCUAACCGUAAACGAUGCCAACUAGCGAUUCGCAGGCGUUAAACAACGACCUUGCGGGCAGCUUCCCGGAAACGAAAGUGUUCGGGUUCCGGGGGAAGUAUGGUUGCAAAGCUGAAACUUAAAGGAAUUGACGGAAGGGCACCACCAGGAGUGGAGCCUGCGGCUUAAUUUGACCCAACACGGGAAAACUCACCCGGCCCGGACACCGUAAGGAUUGACAGA
rnacentral:rRNA from 1 species